rnacentral:rRNA from 1 species
GACGAACGCUGGCGGCGUGCUUAACACAUGCAAGUCGAACGGAAAGGCCCUGCUUGUGUGGGGUGCUCGAGUGGCGAACGGGUGAGUAACACGUGAGUAACCUGCCCUUGACUUUGGGAUAACUUCAGGAAACUGGGGCUAAUACCGGAUAGGAGCUCCUGCUGCAUGGAGGGGGUUGGAAAGUUUCGGCGGGUGGGGAUGGACUCGCGGCUGAUCAGCUUGUUGGUGGGGUAGUGGCUUACCAAGGCUUUGACGGGUAGCCGGCCUGAGAGGGUGACCGGCCACAUUGGGACUGAGAUACGGCCCAGACUCCUACGGGAGGCAGCAGUGGGGAAUAUUGCACAAUGGGCGGAAGCCUGAUGCAGCAACGCCGCGUGCGGGAUGACGGCCUUCGGGUUGUAAACCGCUUUCGCCUGUGACGAAGCGUGAGUGACGGUAAUGGGUAAAGAAGCACCGGCUAACUACGUG